UGAGAAUCAAGAGGAAUCACAGGGUGGGU
rnacentral:piRNA from 1 species